rnacentral:lncRNA from 1 species
UUGGGAGGUACAGCCGCCCUACCCUCAGGGACCGUUCGGCCUUCCAAGGUGGUAUUAUAGCGUACUUUAUGUACGUCGAUCAUUGCAGGUGCGUUUGCAGUGGGUAUAUGUGAUCUUGUCACCUUUGCUAGAUUAGUAAAAGCAUCUGGCAUGCCUUGAGCAAUGCUUCGAAGAUCUACAAUAUGAUGUGUUUGUACCAUACUUGACCAAUCCCGAAACUACUGAGCACCGGUUAACGUUAUACCGUCAAGGACCUAGAAGAGUUUCCCUCCAACUAGGAGGCCAAUCACAGCGCGACACGUGUCGACAUCAGAAGCCAAUCAUAGCGUGACACGUGUCAACAUCAGAAGCCAAUCACAACACGACACGUGUCAAUGUCAGAAUGAAACUAGAAACUCUCUUCUAUAAAUAGAGAUCAUUCUCUCACAAUAUUUCCUAAUAUCAUUUGUACUAAAUCAUUCACUUGUAUUCACUAAAGGAGAGCUUGAACCUAUGUACUUGAGUGUUCAACUUCCCUAAAGAACAAGCUUUGCAUGGGAGGGAUUCAACAUAUGGAGGUAAAUGAUGCCCAUGUGAUGAUUUAAGGAUAUGGCGCAUCAUGUCAAGUUCGGGACGUCUCAUACCAUCAUGACAAAGUAGUACAGUGCUCUGGAACCCAGGCACAAUGUCGGCCACAUGGUGGGUCUCUAUGCCGUGAAUGGUUGUGAUGUACAACCCACAUUCCAGCUUUUCAUAAAUAUGCUUCUGGCCAUAUUCGUAAGAAGUGAUACAAAGAAAUACAGAACCAUUCUCUUCAAUGGUUUCAACAUGAUAUUUAUUAUCUCAAAUAUCUCUAAAAUUCAGCAACGUUCUUCUGAAACGUGGAGAAUAGAGUGCUUCUUUAAUGGUUAAGACAAUAUCAUUGAACAACAUUAUACGAGCAUUUUCGUAUCAUUUUAUCAGGUUGGAUGAGCCUGAGAGGGUUGUUAGAGGUGCAUUCUUAGGUACGAAGUUAGUAAAAUAGUGUCACUCACUCAAGAUGGUGUGUGUGGUAGCACUAUUAGCCACACAACUAACUUCCGCACUAGUCAUACCUAGAAAUAAAUUAAUUGAAUGGGUCACAUGUAUAAAUAUAAUUCCAUUCAUUCAAUUAAUCAAUCGAGAAAUAAUAUACAUAAAAAAAUAAUUAUCCAUAAUUCAUAACAAACCAAACCAACAAAUUAUUCCAAAGACUUAAAAAAAAUUCCCAAAAAUUAAACCAUAAACCUAAAAAUUACGAGGGGGUUCGGCCACUCUUAGUGAGUUCAGCUACUAAGGGUAAAAACACCCUAAAAACAUAGAAGAAUAAAACUUAUUCGUCCAUAGGAGUUGAUGCCUCCUGAAAAUCUAAUAUCUCCAUGGAUGUGGUAGCAUCUUUGGGAUUUUCCACACGGGCAAAGUUAGACUCACGACGGUAAUGAUACUUGGCAAUAGCCUCGGGGGUAGCUCGAUAUACGUGUGACCAAUGAUCCUUUGAUCCAAAGCGGUAUCACAUGUCCAAUUCAGUGAAAGCCAAUUGAACGGUAGUUUUUCCCUUGUUCUUGAAGUUUGGGGUGUUAGGGGCAAGGGGUUGGCGCUUCUGGGUUAAAUUUCCUCCUUGGGUAGGCCUCUACCUUGUUGACCUUGGGUCUGUGGUGGGGCCUGUUGCCCAUUACCACUGCCACGAUGGUUCUUUCUUCGCUUGUGGCUGCUAGAAUUAGUCUCAUGUGCUUUAGGCAAAGCGUUCGAGCCAGUGGAUCAAGCUUGAUGAUUUCUCAUCAAAAGAUGGUAUUGUUUUUUAGCAAGAAGUAAAACAGAGAUCAAAUCCAAAAUUUUGGUGAACUUAUGUGCCCUAUAUUGUUGCUACAAGACAAUAUUUAUAGCAUUGAAGGUCAAAUGGGUCUUCUCCAAGAGAUCUUCGUCAAUUAAGUCCACUUUACAGAACUUAAACAGUGAUCGGAUUCUACAAACUUCAGAGUUGUAUUCAUUCACAUACUUAAAGUCUAAAAAGCGUAAACGCUACUAGUCGUGUCUUGCUUCAGGCAAGUAAAUGUCUUUCUGGUGAUUGAAACGAUCAGACAGAGCAAGCCAGAAGGUGUGUGGGUCCUCCUCAACAAGGUACUCGAUCUGCAGUGCAUCAUAGAUGUGUCUUCUAAUGAAGAUCAUUACAAUAGCUUUCUCAGCUUCGUUGACGAGGUCAUCGUCAAUAGGUUCCUCGAUGGCGGCUCUAAUACCCUACGCGGUAAGAUAGAGCUUCACGUCUUGAACCCACUUCAGGUAGUUUCUUUCCAAAGCGGUGAAAUUGAGCUUGUUCAAGUUCGACAUGUCCCUAAAAUAGAGGGUACAACAAAAACGUGGUUAGUCAUAUGGGAAUCUGUAAACAUACAUCGUAUGGUAAUCUAUAGACAUACAUCGUAGAACAUUCAGGUUCUAUAGACAUGUGUAGGUUUAAUUUAAGCAUGUAAGCUUCAGGUUUCAUGUGGUAAGUUUUGAAUGAAAACUUCGAGUUUCAAAGGCACUAAAUAUGAAACUACAAAUUCAAUUUAGUUUUAUGAAUGAUUAGUUCAUAAAGGAGAGGUUCUUGCAAGAAUACAAAAUGCAACAUGUUGAUUUAAGUGUAGUGAAUUUGAGUUACUUUGGGAAUUCAAGUGUGAGAGCUUCAGGACUACAAAAGGAUGUCAACGGUUCAAACUAGAAAAAUAAAUCAUUGAGUUAUUAAUGUUCAAAAGUGAUCUUCAGGUCAAUAAUUUUGGAUUAAUUAUCAUAUUAAUGGACCACGAGUCACUUUUAUUUAAUUUAAUAGAUCGAGACGAAAUCCUGGAAGCAAAAUAAUGACAGACGGGUCAUAUUAGCUUCAGUUGGUGAUAGACCAAGUGAUAAUUAGAUUAGAAUUAAUUAGCGUAAACCAAAGUACCCCAAUUAAAAUAAUGGGGUAUGAUUUAUAAUGUGGGAAUACCAAAAAUUAGCAUUGGGUCGAAAAAAUAUUGUGGCCCAGCCUUAUUAGGCUGGUUGCGGUGCGGGUCUAAGCCUUGCAACACUACUAAAGGCUAUUGGGCCUUCGGAAGGGCUGCGGGUGCAGCCCAGAUAUGGAUUAAGCCGAGUCUAGGAUAAAGCCCACCAGCAAAAGAUGCUGGUUUUUGCCAAAACGAGGCACGAGAGCAAGCCCAGCCGAAGGCUGGCUUACGGGUUGGCGUUGAAAGCCCAGCCGAAGCUGGCUUUCUAGUUUAGGCUAGGGCAGUUCAAACCCGGCAACAUCUAAAGCUGCUGGCGAGUUGGGCCAAGGAUUGGCGAAGCCUAGCAAACGACAUGGACUUGCUGUAGUUGGGCCUGGGGCACAAGACAAAGCCCAACAACUCAAAAGGUUGUUGGUUUGGGCUAAAGAGACUAC